rnacentral:snRNA from 1 species
GUGCUCACUUUGGCAGCACAUAUACUAAAAUUGGAAUGAUACAGAGAAGAUUAGCACAACCCCUGUGCAAGGAUGACACAUAAAUUCAUGAAGCAUUCCAUAUUUAA